AUUGAACGCUGGCGGCACGCUUUACACAUGCAAGUCGAACGGUAACAGGCCGCAAGGUGCUGACGAGUGGCGAACGGGUGAGUAAUGCAUCGGAACGUGCCCAGUCGUGGGGGAUAACUACUCGAAAGAGUAGCUAAUACCGCAUACGAUCUAUGGAUGAAAGCGGGGGACCGUAAGGCCUCGCGCGAUUGGAGCGGCCGAUGUCAGAUUAGGUAGUUGGUGGGGUAAAGGCUCACCAAGCCAACGAUCUGUAGCUGGUCUGAGAGGACGACCAGCCACACUGGGACUGAGACACGGCCCAGACUCCUACGGGAGGCAGCAGUGGGGAAUUUUGGACAAUGGGCGCAAGCCUGAUCCAGCAAUGCCGCGUGCAGGAAGAAGGCCUUCGGGUUGUAAACUGCUUUUGUACGGAACGAAACGGCUCUGGUUAAUACCCGGGGCUAAUGACGGUACCGUAAGAAUAAGCACCGGCUAACUACGU
rnacentral:rRNA from 1 species